rnacentral:rRNA from 1 species
AUGCUUUCACAACUUGACUUCAAAAUAUUUGGUUUGGAGACCAUCAAAGAUCAAUAUGUGCAUGAUGCUGAUUUUAAAGAUGUAAUGCAGAAUUGCAAAGAAGGAAGAAGGUGGAACAAGUUUGUCGUUAACGAUGGAUUUGUGUUUCGUGCUAACAAGCUAUGCAUUCCAGCUAGCUCCGUUCGUCUUUUGUUGUUGCAGGAGGCGCAUGGAGGAGGAUUAAUGGGACACUUUGGCGUGAAGAAGACGGAGGACGUACUUGCUACACAUUUCUUUUGGCCAAAGAUGAGACGGGAUGUUGAGCAGGCUGUUUUGAAGAAUAAUAAGAAAAUGUGGGAGGAAUGCUUGCCUCAUAUUGAAUUUGCUUAUAAUCAUUCAUUGCAUUCUACUACUAAGAUGUGCCCUUUUGAAGUUGUGUAUGGUUUCCUACCUCGUGCACCUAUUGAUUUGUUGCCUCUUCCAUCUUCGGAGAAGGUUAAUUUUGAUGCUAAACAACGUGCUGAAUUGAUUUUAAAAAUGCAUGAGUUAACUAAGGAAAACAUUGAGCGGAUGAAUGCUAAAUAUAAACUUGCUGGAGAUAAGGGUAGAAAACAUGUUGUGUUUGCACCUGGAGAUCUUGUUUGGUUACAUUUGCGUAAGGAUAGAUUUCCUGAUUUGCGCAAAUCAAAGUUAAUGCCACGUGCUGAUGGUCCCUUUAAGGUGUUAGAGAAAAUAAAUGAUAAUGCAUAUAAACUUGAGCUGCCUGCAGAUUUUGGGGUUAGUCCCACUUUUAACAUUGCAGAUUUGAAGCCUUAUUUGGGUGAGGAAGAUGAACUUCCGUCGAGGACGACUUCAUUUCAAGAAGGGGAGGAUGAUGAGGACAUCAAUACAAUUGUUACACCCACAGCCCCUACUGCUAUACAUACUGGACCAAUUACUAGAGCUCGUGCACGCCAAUUAAAUUACCAGGAAACAGACCCUCGUGGUCAGGUUGAUCGUGCUCCGGCGUGGUCAAUAACCUCUCGGAGUUGGUUUAGCGAUUGCUAA